UACGAAGGGGGCUAGCGUUGCUCGGAAUCACUGGGCGUAAAGCGCACGUAGGCGGAUCUUUAAGUCAGGGGUGAAAUCCUGGAGCUCAACUCCAGAACUGCCUUUGAUACUGGGGAUCUCGAGUCCGGGAGAGGUGAGUGGAACUGCGAGUGUAGAGGUGAAAUUCGUAGAUAUUCGCAAGAACCCCAGUGGCGAAGGCGGCUCACUGGCCCGGUACUGACGCUGAGGUGCGAAAGCGUGGGGAGCAAACAGG
rnacentral:rRNA from 1 species